GACCAGACUCCUACGGGAGGCAGCAGUGAGGAAUAUUGGUCAAUGGGCGAGAGCCUGAACCAGCCAAGUCGCGUGAGGGAAGACGGUCCUAUGGAUUGUAAACCUCUUUUGCCGGGGAGCAAAAAGCGGUACGUGUACCGCAUCGAGAGUACCCGGAGAAAAAGCAUCGGCUAACUCCGUGCCAGCAGCCGCGGUAAUACGGAGGAUGCGAGCGUUAUCCGGAUUUAUUGGGUUUAAAGGGUGCGCAGCCGGGGAGUUAAAACUGGGGUAAAUUGUGGGGGCCCACCCCCGACAAGCCGUUGAAACUGGCUUGCUAGAGUGGGCGAGAAGUAUGCGGAAUGCGUGGUGUAGCGGUGAAAUGCAUAGAUAUCACGCAGAACUCCGAUUGCGAAGGCAGCAUACCGGCGCCCAACUGACGCUCAGGCACGAAAGCGUGGGUAUCGAACGGGAUUAGAUACCCCGGUAGA
rnacentral:rRNA from 1 species